UGAGGAAUCUUGCACAAUGGGCGAAAGCCUGAUGCAGCGACGCCGCGUGAGCGAAGAAGGGUUUCGGCUCGUAAAGCUCUUUUCUGUGUGACGAGAAAGGACGGUAGCACAGGAAUAAGUCUCGGCUAACUACGUGCCAGCAGCCGCGGUAAAACGUAGGAGGCAAACGUUAUCCGGAGUUACUGGGCGUAAAGAGCGCGCAGGCGGGUCGUUAAGUCUGCCAUGAAAGCUCCCGGCUAAACCGGGAGAGGCUGGUGGAGACUGGCGGUCUGGAGUAGAAGAGAGGGAUGUGGAAUUCCGCAUGUAGUGGUGAAAUGCGUAGAGAUGCGGAGGAACACCGGAGGCGAAGGCGACAUCCUGGCUUCAAACUGACGCUGAGGCGCGAAAGCAUGGGUAGCGAACGGGAUUAGAUACCCCUGUAGUCC
rnacentral:rRNA from 1 species